rnacentral:rRNA from 1 species
GGUGCGGAACACGUGUGCAACCUGCCUUUAUCAGGGGAAUAGCCUUUCCAAAGGAAGAUUAAUGCCCCAUAACAUAUUGACUGGCAUCACUUGAUAUUGAAAACUCCUGUGGAUAAGGAUGGGCACGCGCAGGAUUAGAUAGUUGGUAGGGUAACGGCCUACCAAGUCAUCGAUCCUUAGGGGGCCUGAGAGGGUGAUCCCCCACACUGGUACUGAGACACGGACCAGACUCCUACGGGAGGCAGCAGUGAGGAAUAUUGGACAAUGGGUGAGAGCCUGAUCCAGCCAUCCCGCGUGAAGGACGACGGCCCUAUGGGUUGUAAACUUCUUUUGUACAGGGAUAAACCUUUCUACUUGUAGAAAGCUGAAGGUACUGUACGAAUAAACACCGGCUAACUCCAUGCCAUCACCCGCGGUAAUACAGAAGGUGCAAGCGUUAUCCGGAUUUAUUGGGUUUAAAGGGUCCGUAGGCGGAUCUGUAAGUCAGUGGUGAAAUCUCACAGCUUAACUGUGAAACUGCCAUUGAUACUGCACGUCUUGAGUGUUGUUGAAGUAACUGGAAUAAAUAUUGUAGCGGUGAAAUGCAUAGAUUUUACUUACAACACCAAUUGCGAAGGCAAGGUACUAAGCAACAACUGACGCUGAUGGACGAAAGCGUGGGGAGCGAACAGGAUUAGAUACCCUGGUAGUCCACGCCGUACACGAUGCUAACUCGCUUUUUGGUUUUUCAGAAUCAUAGACUAAGCGAAAGUGAUAAGUUAGCC